AAUCAAACGCUGGCGGCGUGCCUAACACAUGCAAAGUCGAAACGCGAAAAGGGGCUUCGGCCCUGAAGUAGAGUGGCGAAACGGGUGAGUAACACGUGGGUGAUCUACCUUUGAGUGGGGGAUAACGUUCCGAAAGGAGCGCUAAUACCGCAUGACGUUCCGGGUUUGAAGACCUGGAAACCAAAGCCGGGGACCGCAAGGCCUGGCGCUUGGAGAGGAGCCCGCGUCCGAUUAGCUAGUUGGCGGGGUAAUGGCCCACCAAGGCGACGAUCGGUAGCCGGCCUGAGAGGGCGGACGGCCACACUGGAACUGAGACACGGUCCAGACUCCUACGGGAGGCAGCAGUGGGGAAUUGUUCACAAUGGGCGCAAGCCUGAUGACGCAACGCCGCGUGGGGGAUGAAGGUCUUCGGAUUGUAAACCCCUGUCGAACGGGACGAAAGACUCGCGAGCUAAUCAUCGCGAGAGUGACGGUACCGUUAAAGGAAGCCACGGGCUAACUCUGUGCCCAGCAGCCGCGGUAA
rnacentral:rRNA from 1 species